rnacentral:rRNA from 1 species
ACAGCAGCAGCCGCGGUAAUACGAAGGGGGCUAGCGUUGUUCGGAAUUACUGGGCGUAAAGCGCGUGUAGGCGGGCGUUUAAGUCAGGGGUGAAAUGCCAAGGCUCAACCUUGGAACUGCCUUUGAUACUGAAUGUCUUGAGUCCGGGAGAGGUGAGUGGAACUGCGAGUGUAGAGGUGAAAUUCGUAGAUAUUCGCAAGAACACCAGUGGCGAAGGCGGCUCACUGGCCCGGAACUGACGCUGAGACGCGAAAGCGUGGGGAGCAAACAGGAUUAGAUACCCCAGUAGUCCCUGUCUCUUAUAC